GACGAACGCUGGCGGCGUGCUUAACACAUGCCAGUCGAACGGAAAGGCCCUGCUUUUGUGGGGUGCUCGAGUGGCGAACGGGUGAGUAACACGUGAGUAACCUGCCCUUGACUUUGGGAUAACUUCAGGAAACUGGGGCUAAUACCGGAUAGGAGCUCCUGCUGCAUGGUGGGGGUUGGAAAGUUUCGGCGGUUGGGGAUGGACUCGCGGCUUAUCAGCUUGUUGGUGGGGUAGUGGCUUACCAAGGCUUUGACGGGUAGCCGGCCUGAGAGGGUGACCGGCCACAUUGGGACUGAGAUGCGGCCCAGACUCCUACGGGAGGCAGCAGUGGGGAAUAGUGCACAAUGGGCGGAAGCCUGAUGCAGCAACGCCGCGUGCGGGAUGACGGCCUUCGGGUCGUAAACCGCUUUCGCCUGUGACGAAGCGUGAGUGACGGUAAUGGGUAAAGAAGCACCGGCUAACUACGUG
rnacentral:rRNA from 1 species